UGUAAACAGAAUUUUUGACGUCCAUCCCGCGGAUCAGUCACGCUGGGAUGGAAAUUGUUCCUGUGAGGCUUUACAUUCACCUGUUUCUUAUGGAGUAGGGUAGCACGAGGAAGAACUCUUGAAGGGAUUCGAUUUUAUAUAAAGAAUUAAUGGAUUCGUUGCUUAAUAUUCCGCCUAGAGUGUUUCACGGUAUGCGAGGAUUUGAUUUCUGGCGAGGGCGAUGCUAGAACUCGGUGGAUUGUGAAAAAGAAUUGUAUAACAACUAAUGGUUCGUUUUAAAAAUAGAAGUGACUCGUUUGUAGUGAUGAAACUGCUGUGCAAAGUUUAUGAUAGUGAUGAAGAUACAUAUAGAGAAAACAUACUGUGUGCAUUUAUAUUGAAGGAAAUGUCUCAAAGAUCAAAAGAUUGAAAAUAAACUGAUGUGAAUGAAAGUAAAAACGGAACAUUUCGCUCUUUGCUUUAAGCAUAUGUUUGUUACAAUAAUAGUUUGGGUCUAGCUCCACUUGAUCUACUAAAUGGCAAAUUGAAAUUUAUCCCAACACCAUUACUUUGAAACUUUUACUCCAUUGUAAAAUAUUUACAAGUUUAACCUGAUCGACUUCCUGAAGAAGUGAGCUUGUGACGACUAGAAAGAGAGCGGGAUUCCUAGGCGGGACGGCGUCAAG
rnacentral:lncRNA from 1 species